rnacentral:lncRNA from 1 species
CUGCUUUUCUUUCUUUGGGCUUCUCUACCUUUCUCCUACUGCUUUUUUGGCUUUACCACUACUUUUUAUUUACUCAGCUUCAACUUUUCCCUUCUCCUCUUAACUCUAACUCUCUCUCUUUCUACAUUACUCUCUCCUCCACCUCUCUUUUGCCCCUUCUCCCUCUCUCUCUCUCUCUCUCCAUUCUUUGCAGUAAUGCUCCCUCCUCCACCUCCAUCUCUUGAAGAGGAGAUUACUUAGAAAGAAAUAACUUCAAUGGCUACAAGGGUUAUUAGGGCUCAUCAUGGCCUCCUCCUCCUCUUCUCUCUCCUCCUAUCCCUUCAGUCUGCUUGCUCUUCAGGUCAGUACAUCACUCAUUCUCCUCUCCCUUCCUUUCCCUUUCUUUCUGUUGCAUUUUUUUUUUCUCUUAUUGAGCUACAAACAACAACAACAACAAAAGACAAGAAGAGACAAAGAAAGAGAGUUUCUCAUUUACUCCUCUUUGAUAGCUACUUUAAGAUUGGCAUAAACCACUUUCCCCUUCUGAUAUACCACAACUGUUUCAAAAUCUCAGUUUCAUUUUUCAUUUUCUUCUUUCUUUGGUGUUUCCAGGAGCCUUUGUGGGAUUUUCAUAUGAUGCAAGGGAAGAGAGGCCUCAAUCUUCUUCACCUUCACCCACAGAAGCACNCUCUU